CCACAAGCUACUGGGCAGAUGUGUGGACAGCUAUGAGCCAAACUUGGGACGUUUGGUUUUUAGCAGGUGGAGAGACCGUCUGGGCAGCAGAAACAA